rnacentral:rRNA from 1 species
ACGAACGCUGGCGGCGUGCUUAACCCAUGCAAGUCGAACGAAGAGCGAUGGAAGCUUGCUUCUAUCAAUCUUAGUGGCGAACGGGUGAGUAACGCGUAAUCAACCUGCCCUUCAGAGGGGGACAACGGUUGGAAACGACUGCUAAUACCGCAUACGAUCUAAUCUCGGCAUCGAGGAUAGAUGAAAGGUGGCCUCUACAUGUAAGCUAUCACUGAAGGAGGGGAUUGCGUCUGAUUAGCUAGUUGGAGGGGUAACGGCCCACCAAGGCGAUGAUCAGUAGCCGGUCUGAGAGGAUGAACGGCCACAUUGGGACUGAGACACGGCCCAGACUCCUACGGGAGGCAGCAGUGGGGAAUCUUCCGCAAUGGACGAAAGUCUGACGGAGCAACGCCGCGUGAGCGAUGACGGCCUUCGGGUUGUAAAGCUCUGUUAAUCGGGACGAAAGGCCUUCUUGCGAAUAGUGAGAAGGAUUGACGGUACCGGAAUAGAAAGCCACGGCUAACUACGUG